UGAAGGUCUACAGUAGCCUCAACAGCACUCUGUAGGGUAGCACCAUGGUGUAGCUGGAGGACAGCUAGCUUCCGACCUCCUCUUGGUACAAUGACUUCAACACCAAACCUAGGAGGCUCAUGGUUCUCACCCCCUUCCAUAGACUUACACAAUAAUUAUGACAACUUCCGUUGGACUGUCUCCAACCUAUCAGAGCUCUUGCAGCAUGAACUAACAUGUUAUCUACCCAAUCAAAGGAUCAGAGAAUGAAUCUAGUACUGAAAGCAUAAGCUACAGCUAGCUAGCACUGCAGUACAUAAAAUGUGGUGAGUAACUGACUCAAAGAGAAAGACAAUAGUUGAAAGGUUUUCAACAAAUUAAUUUCUUCAAAAAUGAGAGAGAGAUUUCGUUUUUUUCUUCUCCAUUUCACUUACUUAGCUAGCAAAUGCAGCUGGCUAGUUUAGCCUACUGAAACACCCUGCUCAAACAGAUGGAUGCUAUGUCAGCUAGCUGGCUAUGACUUUCCAACACAACACUGGAACUCUUCCAAGUCAAGGGGUUUGGUGGAAGAGGAGGAUGUGCUACCUGUGAGAGGAACCGAUCCAGACCAGGCCAAACAACCGGCUUUCGGCGAUGGAUAUCCCCCAUACAGAUUUGACGUGACGCCAAAACACAACAGACCCAAAUCAUCCAUUAGAGAUCCCAUGAAGCUAACCGCCACACAACCAUUUGAACAGAUGUAAACGUAUCGUAACAGAUGAACAACUUCUGGAGGGCGAGCCAGGCCAUUGAUAACAGGUCACUGGCAGGUGACCCCUGUCCUUUAGAAAGAUGGAAUUCUCUAACAUUGGGGGAGUUUCUUCAGUGUCUGUGAAGAGACUCUGAAAUGUCCCUAAGUGGUCUCUAUCUGUUGUGUCUACAGUGUCUGGAGGUCAUGGCAGGUCACCUUUCAUUUGCUUAACAGUUGUGGGUUUUACACAGAACUGGCAGUCAAGUCAGUCACACCGUUCAUGUAUACUUGGGAACUGGUAUAUUAGCUUUGCAAAUGGUUGGUGAAGUUGACAUUCUGCAGCUCCUAUAUACCUGGUCGACUACAGCAGGGAGCUUGUGUGCAGUCCCUGACUUAUUUGCUCAUUCUCUGCCCAUGACCUGGACGAACUUAGUCAAGUUUAAACCAAAACAAUAAAAAUAAAU
rnacentral:lncRNA from 1 species